GACGAACGCUGGCGGCAUGCCUAACACAUGCAAGUCGAACGAGACCUUCGGGUCUAGUGGCGCACGGGUGCGUAACGCGUGGGAAUCUGCCCUUGGGUUCGGAAUAACAGUUAGAAAUGACUACUAAUACCGGAUGAUGUCUUCGGACCAAAGAUUUAUCGCCCAAGGAUGAGCCCGCGUAAGAUUAGCUUGUUGGUGAGGUAAAAGCUCACCAAGGCGACGAUCUUUAGCUGGUCUGAGAGGAUGAUCAGCCACACUGGGACUGAGACACGGCCCAGACUCCUACGGGAGGCAGCAGUGGGGAAUAUUGGACAAUGGGCGAAAGCCUGAUCCAGCAAUGCCGCGUGAGUGAUGAAGGCCUUAGGGUUGUAAAGCUCUUUUACCCGGGAUGAUGAUGACAGUACCGGGAGAAUAAGCCCCGGCUAACUCCGUGCCAGCAGCCGCGGUAAAAC
rnacentral:rRNA from 1 species